rnacentral:rRNA from 1 species
AUUGAACGCUGGCGGCAGGCCUAACACAUGCAAGUCGAGCGGUAGAGAGGUGCUUGCAUCUCUUGAGAGCGGCGGACGGGUGAGUAAUGCCUAGGAAUCUGCCUAGUGGUGGGGGAUAACGUUCGGAAACGGACGCUAAUACCGCAUACGUCCUACGGGAGAAAGCGGGGGAUCUUCGGACCUUGCGCCAUUAGAUGAGCCUAGGUCGGAUUAGCUAGUUGGUGAGGUAAUGGCUCACCAAGGCGACGAUCCGUAACUGGUCUGAGAGGAUGAUCAGUCACACUGGAACUGAGACACGGUCCAGACUCCUACGGGAGGCAGCAGUGGGGAAUAUUGGACAAUGGGCGAAAGCCUGAUCCAGCCAUGCCGCGUGUGUGAAGAAGGUCUUCGGAUUGUAAAGCACUUUAAGUUGGGAGGAAGGGUCGUAACCUAAUACGUUGCGGCUUUGACGUUACCGACAGAAUAAGCACCGGCUAACUUCGUGCCAGCCGCCGCGGUAAUAC